UACGGAGGGGGCUAGCGUUGUUCGGAAUUACUGGGCGUAAAGCGCACGUAGGCGGCUUUGUAAGUUAGAGGUGAAAGCCCAGGGCUCAACCCUGGAAUUGCCUUUAAGACUGCAUCGCUUGAACAUCGGAGAGGUAAGUGGAAUUCCGAGUGUAGAGGUGAAAUUCGUAGAUAUUCGGAAGAACACCAGUGGCGAGGGCGGCUCACUGGACCGGCAUUGACGCUGAGGUGCGAAAGCGUGGGGAGCAAACAGG
rnacentral:rRNA from 1 species